CGCCCCGAAUUGUAGUCUAGAAAGGCGCCAUCGGCCGCGCCCGCCGCUCAAAUCCCUUGGAAUAGGGUAUCGGAGAAGGUGAGAAUCCUGUACCGUGGCGGUCCGCGGCCGCACGAUGCGCCCUUGCAGAGUCGGGUUGCUUGGGAUUGCAGCUUGAAUUUGGAGAUAAAUUCCUUCUAAAGCUAAAUACUGCAGCGAGACCGAUAGCGAACAAGUACCGUGAGGGAAAGAUGCAAAGAACUUUGAAAAGAGAGUUAAAGAGUGCUUGAAACCGACAAGGGGAAACCCGGUUGUGCCCGGCUUCGCGCCCGUCGACUCAGCUGCCUUUUCGGGCGGUGCACUUCGGCGGCGUGGGUCACCCGCAUCUCUGCGCGUGGGAUGGUUGCUCGGUAGGCCUCUUUGGGAUCCGGGUCGUGACCACUCGCGGGGCUUCGGUUGACGUAACGGGCACCACCGACCCGUCUAGAAACACGGUCCAAGGAGUCUGACAUGGACGCGAGUACUCGGGUGGUAAGCCUGUGUGCGCAAUGAAAGUGAAGGGCGUGCCCCGCCAACCGACCUUGAUUUUUUAAUGAAGGGUUUGAGUGGAGCGUUCCUGUCGGGACCCGAAAGAUGGUGAACUAUGCCCGGAAAGCUUGAAGUCUGCUGAAAGGCAGAUGGAGGAGCGUAGCGAUACUGACGUGCAAAUCGUUCGUCUGAUCUGGGUAUAGGGGCGAAAGACUAAUCGAACCAUCUAGUAGCUGGUUCCCUCCGAAGUUUCCCUCAGGAUAGCUUGAACGCCGACGGUUUUGU
rnacentral:rRNA from 1 species